AGGACGAACGCUGGCGGCGUGCUUAACACAUGCAAGUCGAGCGAGGCCCUCUCCUUCGGGAGGGGUGCCCUAGCGGCGAACGGGUGAGUAACACGUGGGCAACCUGCCCCUAGCACUGGGAUAACACCGGGAAACCGGGGCUAAUACCGGAUACGACCUCUGAGGGCAUCCUCGGGAGGUGGAAAGCAUCGUGGCUAGGGAUGGGCCCGCGGCCUAUCAGCUUGUUGGUGAGGUAACGGCCCACCAAGGCGACGACGGGUAGCCGGCCUGAGAGGGCGACCGGCCACACUGGGACUGAGACACGGCCCAGACUCCUACGGGAGGCAGCAGUGGGGAAUAUUGCACAAUGGGCGAAAGCCUGAUGCAGCGACGCCGCGUGAGGGAUGACUGCCUUCGGGUUGUAAACCUCUUUCAGCAGGGACGAAGCGAAAGUGACGUACUGCAGAGAGCACCGGCAACUACGCGCCAGCAGCCGCGGUAA
rnacentral:rRNA from 1 species